rnacentral:tRNA from 1 species
GCUCGAGUGGUGGAACUGGUAGACACGCAAGACUUAAAAUCUUGUGGCCAUUAGGCCGUGCCGGUUCGAUUCCGGCCUCGAGUA